CGGGCUUUUCCCUAGAGCCUUAUUCUUACAUAACAUUCCAAAGCAAUAACAUCUAAAUUCUUCUGUAGUCUUGAUUUGUUUUUUUGGGUUUUAAGAUCAAUCAUGUGUUGCGGACCCUGCGGUGGCUGUUCUCCCUGCGGCGGCGGUUGCUUCGGACCUAAUGUGUGCGGACCCUGCUAUGCCACAGGCCCUUGCUUCGGCUGCUGCGGUGGAUGUGCCGUUGGCCCUGCCGGCGGAUGUUGCAGUAGCUGUGGACCUUCCUGCUAAAAUCACGUUUGUGGUCUAAAUUAUCAAGUGC